rnacentral:rRNA from 1 species
AGCGAACGCUGGCGGCAGGCCUAACACAUGCAAGUCGAACGAAGUCUUCGGACUUAGUGGCGGACGGGUGAGUAACACGUGGGAACGUGCCUUUAGGUUCGGAAUAACUCAGGGAAAUUUGUGCUAAUACCGAAUGUGCCCUUGGGGGGAAAGAUUUAUCGCCUUUAGAGCGGCCCGCGUCUGAUUAGCUAGUUGGUGAGGCAAAGGCUCACCAAGGCGACGAUCAGUAGCUGGUCUGAGAGGAUGAUCAGCCACAUUGGGACUGAGACACGGCCCAAACUCCUACGGGAGGCAGCAGUGGGGAAUCUUGCGCAAUGGGCGAAAGCCUGACGCAGCCAUGCCGCGUGAAUGAUGAAGGUCUUAGGAUUGUAAAAUUCUUUCACCGGGGACGAUAAUGACGGUACCCGGAGAAGAAGCCCCGGCUAACUUCGUGCCAGCCGCCGCGGUAA